rnacentral:lncRNA from 1 species
GAAAUGAAGACAGUGUCUAGAUAUAAAAUACAUAUUACCAUGAGUCAUAUUGAAAUUGAAUUCUGGAACACAGAGACAUAUUUUUUUCUAGAAUUUUUGGAAAGGAAUUUGUAAAAAAAAUUGAAACAAUAAUUAUACAAGUAAGGAAAAUAGAUUAAAGAGAACAUUUGGAGUCUUCUCACUCCUGACUGCUCUGAAAAAAAAAAAAGAAGGACAUUAACAGGACUUAUAGAAACGUACUUAACAAAAUGUUAAUGUUUUUACUUUUCAAGAUACAGAAAGAAGAUGUUUACAUAUAUAUGCAUAUAUAUUUGACACAGGUAUACACACACACACACACACACACUCACCUAUAUAGUUUUAAAUUUAUAAUGUAUUGAUAAGAGUCAGAAGGUCAGAAAUCCUAAUUAAAUCACAGAUGUCCAAGCCAAGCACUGUAACACAGCAUCAGUAAUUUUACUAACCAAUAUAUAGAAUUCCUAAUGGAAAAUAUUAUUGAAAUACUUAACAAAGAAGGUUUAGAGAAACCAGUGUCAAAAUGAAAGAAAUCUGGGAUUGAAAUGAUGUUAUUUUUUGUUAGAUAUUUUCUUUAUUUACAUUUCAAAUGUUAUCCCCUGUCCUGACUUCCCCUCCAAAAAAUCCCUUAUUCCAUUCCCCCUACCCCUGCUCAUCAACUCAUCCAAUAUUGCUUCCCUGUCCUGGCAUUUCCCUAAACUGACAGGAGCCUGAUAUAGGUAUCUCCUGAAAGGAUCAGCCAAUGACUGACAAAUACAGAGGUGGUUACUCUCAGGCAAAAUUAGACUGAGCACAAGGUCCUCAAAGGAGGAGCUAAAGAAAGGACUGAAGGAAAUGAAGGAGCUUGCAGCUACAUAGGAAGAACAACAAUAUGAACCAACCAGUUCCCCUAGAGUUCCCAGGGACUAAACCACUAACCAAAGAGAACCCAUGGCUCCAGCUGCAUAUGUAGCAGAAAAUGACCUUGUUGGACAUCUGUGAGAGGAGAUCCCCUUGGUCCUGAGAAAUGAUGUUAUUAUUGAAAUGCUAAUAGUAAAAAUUGUUGACAUCCAAUUUGAGAACAUCUACAUUUAAUUUUUCUAAAAUACUCAGCAUAAGCGUAGAGCAAAUGUUUAUGUUUAGAUGUGCCAUAAUAGUGGAUGAUGCAUUCAGAAAUCACCUUAAAACAUUAACAUUGCAUGUAUUUCACUUGUUCUUGAGUAUGGAGUUGAAUUCAAUGAAGAAAUCAGCUCUUUGUUUACAGUUUCAUAAAAUUCCAUUCAAACAAGCCAAAUGAAGGCUUGGAGAGAAGGAGAUAUGUGCAUGUCUGUAAACAAAUUAAAUAAUAAAUAAUUUGAGGUAGUCAGUUUGAAAUAAGUCAUUCUCUCUUUUGACCUAAAACUUUCAUUCACCAUCUCUCUUUUUUCUCUUAAUGAUGUUUCUGAUUUAUUAUUCUAAUUUCAAUAAAAAUCACUCAAGAGAAUAAAGUGAAAUGAAUAAAAGAUAGGAAAAAUAUUGUUGUAAACAAUUUCUAGUUUUCUUUUUUAUUUUCUUAUUCUUUCUUCCAACUUUCCCCUCUGUUCCUUCUCUCUGUCUCUGUAUCUCUCUCUAUUUUAUUCUGCCAAAAUAAUUUAAACAUUUUAUAACCUCAUCGGAAAAUCAUGGUGCUCAUUUCAUUUUAAAGCACAAAGGCCUAUUUGAUUGACCAUUUAGAUAGCACCUCCCUUUUAAUACUCUUUCUUCCCACAACUAGCAAUUGCCAAUUUCAAGUAAGUUUAUAUAUGAAAAAGUUUCAAGUCAUGUUCCGUUAAAAAUGCUUGUGUUCAAAACAGACACAAUAUGUUAAAUAAAAAACGUAUUAUAUUUAUAUAUAUAUCAAAUUCCAUUUGAAAUGCCAUUAAGAUUGAAUUAUCAAUUGCAUAUUGUCUAUGACAAGAUGUUAAUCAUACACUUAUGCAAAAAUAUGAGAAGUUAUUGAACUUUUUAUUUUUCUUCUGAUUUUCUAAGCUAAUGUGUGAAAGCACCUAGUCAUUUCUGUAAGCUAACACAAUUAGGUUUUGGGAAGCAAAUUCUGUUUUAUGUUCAAAUCAUCUAGAAUUUCUUUCAAUGGCUUUCAGUGAAAAACCUUGACAAGUGCACAAGAUGAGGUACAGGUUGGGACCAUAACUUGAUUUUUCAUUUUGGGAAUGAAAUUUAACUCGGGGAGAGAAUGAUGUGCUCUAUCUGUUCAAAAAUUGUUUUUGUUAUAAGGUCUAUUCAUAAGUGAGCAGGAACGGUAAAGAGAAAGGGGGUUUUAAAUUGCUUCCUGCAGCAGAAUAUGAGGCAGUAAAAUUCUGCUAAGCAGAGAAAACAAGAAAAUAGAAAGGAUGCCCUGAAGAGAAGCUGAUAACAAUGGAAUGAUGCAAAUAACUACAUAUAUGUGUAUGUAUGUGUGCUCUUAUAAAUAUUUUUAAGCACACACAUUAUAUAUAUGUAUGUGUGUAUAUGUAUAGUGUGUGUGUGUGUGUUUUAAACUUCAAAUGUUAUAAAAGAGAUUGGUGGUGUUACC